UGUUAGCAACCCCUUUGGUAACAAGAAGGAUGGAAACACCGGUUCAUCCUUUAGUUUUUGGAAGCAAAACCCCUGGCCAAAAAUGGCGUAUUUUCUCAGCUGUCUCAAAGUCCCUUAGCGCAUAUAAAAACAAGUUACAAUCACCGACCGUAUCAUCCGCGUUCACCUUGCGAACAGAGAAAAGAGCCGCCCGAAGAAAACAAGGAAGAAUUCACAUUGGUUUCUCUUUUAAUGAAAGCACAGGCCCGGUUUCUUAAUUUUUAUUAUGCGUUUGUUAAUUUUCAGAAGCUCGAAGAAAAGUUAAAUGAAAAAGAAGUGAAGAAAGUGUAGCUGCAAACGACAUUAAAGGAGAAAGCAGAGUCUGAAUUCAGAAGACUGCGACAAAGCUUUUGCUUUAAAGCUCGACCGCUACCUAGCUUCUAUAACGAAAGAGAAACACCAAAAAGCUCAAUAAAGAAGGUUGUUGUCAGAACUUCAAAGAUUAAACCCCAAUACAAAAUAUAAUGCAACUUUAUUGAUGAACUUCUCAGAAUCACAAUACAAGAACACAAGCCAGUCAUCACAGAUUGACAGGCUUUCUAAAUGAAUCAAAUGAUUAAAACAAGAACAAAGGAUUCCUCACGAAUGUACGUGUGAGGAAUCAAAAAGAUGAUUUAGGGUUUGAGAAGGAGAAGACAAAAGAGAGUCGGUGCACCUCAUCCCGAGACAGCCCCCUCUUUUAUAUAUGAGAAAGACAUGAAACCCUUAG